rnacentral:sRNA from 1 species
CCUUGUGGUUGCAGCACUGUUCCUCCUCUCUGAGGCUUUUCCCUCAGCUUUCCAGCCAGCUGCCUGUGACAUAGCCUGUAUUUUCCUCUGGGUGAUCCACAGGCCUGGGAGGGUUAAUUUGUGGAUCAAUCUUCCUGUCCUACACCUGACCAAGGAUCCCCUAAAGACCCCUGGAAGGCUGGACCAUGGCACAAGAACUGCCUUCAUCCAUCACCGGGAGCAAGUGUGGAAGAGAUGCAUCAACAUUUGGCGUGAUGUGGGCCUUUUUGGGGUGCUAAAUGAAAUUGCAAACUCAGAAGAAGAGGUGUUUGAGUGGGUGAAGACGGCAUCCGGCUGGGCCAUGGCACUCUGUCAAUGGGCCUCUUCUCUCCAUGGGUCCCUCUUCCCCCAUCUGUCUCUCAGGAGCGAAGAUCUGAUUGCUGAAUUUGCCCAAGUCACAAAUUGGUCCAGCUGCUGCUUGCGUGUCUUUGCAUGGCACCCCCACACCAACAAGUUUGCAGUGGCCCUGCUAGAUGACUCAGUCCGUGUGUAUAAUGCCAGCAGCACCAUAGUCCCCUCCCUGAAGCACCGGCUGCAGCGAAAUGUGGCGGCUCUGG